AGUGUGAUAAGGUUAUCCCGAGUGCUUACUGCUAAAAGAAGCUUUUGCUAAGAGUAAAACCCUUGGCGAAUAAGGGGUGGGCAAGAUCGGGGGCCACAACCCCCGUAAAA
rnacentral:rRNA from 1 species